rnacentral:rRNA from 1 species
CGGGGCUUAAAGUCUUGUAAUUGGAAUGAUGGGAAUUUAAACCUCUUCCAGAGUAUCAAUUGGAGGGCAAGUCUGGUGCCAGCAGCCGCGGUAAUUCCAGCUCCAAUAGCGUAUAUUAAAAUUGUUGCAGUUAAAAAGCUCGUAGUUGAAUUUCUGCUGCAUUGCUUGUGUCUCUCUGGGGUCUGUGCAUGUGGCUUUUUUCGGACGGAGUUUCUUUGUCUGAAUGUUUACUUUGAGAAAAUUAGAGUGCUCAAAGCAGGCUUUCGCCUUGAAUAGUUUAGCAUGGAAUAAUAAAGUAGGACUUUGGUUCUAUUUUGUUGGUUUUAGGUACCAAAGUAAUGGUUAAUAGGAACAGUUGGGGGCAUUCGUAUUUAACUGUCAGAGGUGAAAUUCUUAGAUUUGUUAAAGACGAACUACUGCGAAAGCAUUUGCCAAGGAUGUUUUCAUUAAUCAAGAAC